AUUGAGAUGCCUGAAUAAAGGAUUAUUUUGAUAGAAUAAAUUAUAUACAUACGUAUUCUCAUUA
rnacentral:tRNA from 1 species